GAUCCUGUGGGCGGUACUAUAGGAAAAACAGCGUUGCAUUUGCUUCCAAGGGACCACUUCUUGCAAGAUAUGUCAAAAAUCGGGGACCUCCCUGUGGGGCAGCAGCACUGCGAUCGCGAGGAGGUUAUUUAACUUCUCUGAGCUCCAUUUUCUCAGGAGCCUUGCAGGGUGGUUGCGAGGAGUAUCGAGCUUUAAAAGAUCAAGUUUCUGCAGCAGCGCCCUCGCACUGCGUGGCUGGACCAAGAGUUCUUCGACAUUCGGAUCUCCCGGGCUUCCCUGGGCCGGGGGGGAGUGGUGACGGAGGAAGCCAACCCGCCUCUGCCUUUCUGCCAGCCUCUCGGGAGGAGAUCACAGACCCGCCGCUUUCCCAAGACUCUGAGCUUCCGGCGCCCGCUCCCAUCUUGAAGAUAGCAGUUUCAGUGCCCACCCCCGACCCAACCUCAACCGGGGGAGUGGUCUGCCCUACCCCCCGCUGCUCCCCAGUUCCAGCUUCAGGCUUCUCAAGUCCAGAGGUAAGAAUUCCAGAUUGGAUGGCAGCUCCACGAUCACAGGAACCCAGGCCUCGCCAUUAUUAGCUCAUGUCUUCUGUUCUCAAGGAUGUCUUUAUGGUACAAGAUGGCUGCUGGUGCUCUAACCCUCACCUCUCAGUUCCAAGAAGGAAGAAGGAGCCUGGAGGGGAAUGGUUCUACGCUUGACUUCAGCCCUCAGACGCCCUGUGCCAACCUGGCAGCCAGAGACAGAGCCGAGUGGCCCCUGGGGACUUGGGCCUGAAGAUGAGGGCACAUCUGGAGGUGAGGAGAGACCGCCUACUCGGCCUCCAUCAUCAUGUCUUGAGAGCACAGAAGGCAACAGAAAGACACAGAGACACUCUUUCCAUGUAGAAGCACUGGAUCUCCAUGACAACCCCAUGAAGUGGGCAGACAGCUAUUACUGUCCCAUUUUACAGAUGUGAAAACUUGCUCAGUGAUACUGCACUCCUAAGAGGCAGUACCAGGAUAUUGAGAUACUGAGCCCAGGCCCUGGGACUCUUGGUGCCUUGGGGGAGUUACAGGUGUGAGGCAGUGUAGCCUCAGGGCCUGGGAGUCCAUCAGGACCGCUCUGGCUGGGCAGGCUGGUCUCUCCCUGCCUUUGUUUCUGGGUGUCUGGGGCCUGAGGAGUGAGGAGUCAGCAGCAAUGCUUUUCAGCGGCGGGGCAGGACGGCCGUGCUGGGGAGCAAGCAGUGUGGAUCACACCCACUCCUCUGGUCAGCAGGCCUGCCCCCUGGACUCGCUUUAGAGUCAGCCUUUCCAAAUGGACCAGCUUCUGCCGUCAUUUCGGGGGAAGAGUCCACAGCAGCAUGGCACCAACUUGGAUGGUACACAGCUUCCUCCCUUGGGUGACCUGGGGCGAAGGGUGCUUUGAAGCCUCUCCUGGGUGCCUGCCUCUCCGUCCACUCCCGGACCCGAGCCCUCUCUUCUCCACCAAUCGGGGAUUUGCUCACUGGCAGCUCUGCCUUUUUCGUUGUCCUCAUGGCUCUGCUCCUUCAGUCUCAGCUCUGGGGGCCCCGCUCGCCCGUCUCCGGGUUGUGUCACCCCUGAUGCCUUUCUGCAGCUCUUCCUCCUGCUGCUAUUGCCUGUCCCCAGUUAAAAGUCUCUGGCGAGGAUUUGAUUGGCCCAGCUCAUCCUCGUGCAUCAGGCUCCUCCUCAUAGGCUGCUGCCAGGCCACAUAUUGGCCAUUUCAGGCUAGUCAGCUGUCGUUGGGAGGGAGUGGAGUCCCAUGGUCGGCCUGGGGCUGGCCCGUCAGUGGGGGGCUCUGGGCUGGGCAGUGUCACUUGCAGGAGACUGUGGGGGUGAACUGUGAGAGGAACCGUCACAGACGUGUCUGAUACGCAGAUGCUACGGUGUGGAAGAGUCUGGAAGCUUUUAUGGAUGAGGUGAUACCUGAACUAGGCCUGGAAGAAUGGGUAGGAUUCCAAUCAGCAGAGAUGAGGCAGAAAGAACAUUACAGGAGGAGUAAAGGAAAUAAAGCAGAUGUCCACAGAGCAGCAGGGAGUGUCGUGUGGCUUGAGAGGGACUCACGGCAGGAGCCAACCUGCUCUUGACCCCGGCACUCACCAGGCUGAAAAGACACUGGCCACUGAGCGCCUGUGGGCUUUCCGCCUUGCCAAAGUCCUGGCUGCUGGCCAAUGGGCCGUCGCUGGCGGUGACCUGUGUCAGUUCUGGGUCAGAGUUCUCUAUGCCCUCUCUUCCCACACCACUGUGACUGGUGAUUGUCCAGAUGGUGGUUCUUCUAGCAGCCUGGAUCCCUGAGACGCUAGGUGGAGCGGAGCCCUGCCGUCGCCCUCUCCCCCUGCGCUGGGCAUAUAACGUGACUGAGCAAGAAACUUUUACUGUGAAGUCAUUGAAGUUUGGGGGCUGAUUUACUGCAGUAGAACCAAGCCUAACCUGACUAAUAUACCAGCUCUGAGGGGACCUCCCCUCUCAGCAGCACAGAGGUGGGCGGGGCAUGGGUAGAGCAAGGAAGACAUCAGGAGUUAGUGCCCCGGGGAGGAUUUGGCUGGGAUGUGUCCAAGCACAGGGCUCCCUACUGCUGCGGGGCCACUGCUGGGCGGCGCCUGCAUUGCCUGGGCACAGAGACCAGCGCUGCGGUGGGCAGGAGGCACCUGGAGAGGAUGCGGGGAGCCUGCCUGUAGAGGGUCAGCCAAAGGCGGCAAAAGAAGGGGGAGUGUGUCCGAUUCACAAGCUGCUCAGCCCAGCAAGGACCCUGUCCCAGGAAGGAGUGAGGCUGGAGGCCAGACUCCACUCUCAAGGGAACAGCCUCCUCCCGCAGCCCUAGGCUGGGAGCUCUGAGCAAGGCAAACUUGACCAUAUUACUUCCCCACUUCAAAACCAAGGGAAGGUCCAAGUACCCUAGUGGAGAUUUCAAGGUCAUUUACAACCCGGCCCCUUCCUUCUGCUAAGCCAGCCACUCUCUAGACCGUCUCCUCCAAACUCCUUGAGAGAAUGCCCCACGCCCGCCCCUCCGUGGCCCGACCUGCUCGGGCUCUCGCCACGCCACCGUCUGCAGGCUCUGCCUUUGAUUCACGCUGACCCGCGCUCCUCUCUCUGCUGGAAGCAGGGCCCUGUCGUUAUGGCCUGGAGGGCCCCGUCCACAGUCUCUGUCACCCGUCUGAGUUGCAGACAGGAAAUGGUUCCCUCCACAAACUCUGUGCCAGGCACGGUGCUGGGUGCUGGUUCAGAAGUGAGCAAAAUAAACGUGGCCUUGCCCUCUUGGAACUGACCGUCUUGGGGGCGGAUGGAUGUUAAACGCAUAAUCAGACAAAUACACCUAUAGAUUCCGCCUGGAAGGGAAAAACAAGGUGGGAGGGAUCUCUUUUCGUGUGGAUUGGGGGUUUCGAGGGAAGGUCUCUUGGAGGAGGUGUUUUUUAAACUGAGGCUGAGGCUGAGGGGUGAGGCCUCGCCAGGCAGGGGCAGGGAGGGUGCAGCUGGCAGGGGGAGAGCACAGGGCGGGAAAUGAGCAAUGCCAGGAAAGCCUAAACUGCAGGCCCUGCAAAACCCAAGGUGUUCUUGUUUCCCCUGGCACUUCCCUCUCUUGCUUUUCUUUUUUUCUCCCUCUCUCUCUCUCUUUUUUUUUUUUUUUUUAAUAUUUAUUUCAUUAUUUGGCUGCCCUGGGUCUUAGUUGUGGCACGUGGGAUCUUCGUUGCUGCAUAUGGGAUCUUUAGUCGUGGCAUGCGAACUCUUAGUUGCAGCAUGUGGGAUCUAGUUCCCUGACCAGGGAUCGAACCCAGGCCCCCUGCAUUGGGAGCGCAGAGACUUAGCCACUGGACCACCAGGGAAGUCCUCUCUUGCUUUUCUUUCUCUCCUCCUUGCUGUUCUCCCACCAGCCCCAUCUCCUCUGCCUGGACUAUAAUAGGUACUGCAGGUGCGCCAGGCACUGUGCCCAGGCCUCGUGCCCAGGCCUCUGCACACAUUCAUCCUCCAACAACCCUGGGAGACAGGUGCAAUGGUGCCCAUUUUACAGACACAGUAACUGAGGCUCAGAGAAGUUAAGAGACCUGCCCAGGUCACUGACCAGCAAGUGCUGAAGCGCAUAUUCAAAUCCAGGCCAGGUGCUUGCGCUGCCUCCUCUGGCCCGCAGGGCUCUGGAGCUCGGCUUGUGCCCCAGAGCGCUGCCUGGCAGGGGUGAAAUGCCCUCCUGCCCUCCCUGUACCCUGGGGGGUUGUGGGAGUAGAGGAGGCUGUGACCCCAGGGCCAGGCUGCCCUCUGGGGCCCUGCACCCCACACAUUGGUGAUGCAAGGCCCUGAAGGUGCAGGCUGUGUAUAACUAAAUGGUUACAGCCCCAAACCACUCAACGGCCACUGUUUUUGCUGCCAGGCCCGAUUGUGUCUACCAGCAUCUCAAAGAAAGUAAAAGUGUCGCCAUAAAUCAAUGGGGCAGGCCCUCAUUCAGGCCUGAUGACUUGCUGACAACAUCAUUUCUGGGAUUAAAAUGGAGCCCAGGUGAAGGCAAAGCAGCCAGGUCCAGUCGCAGUCCGCGCAGUUACGGGGAAAGGGCAGGAGCCGGCCCUGCUGGUGCCCCCCCAUCCAGGUGCUGCCACCGCCGACGUUCCAUUUGUCCGCAACAGUCCCUGGAGAGGUAGGGGUGAGGGAAGCUCUGUUUCCACAGCAGAGACACUGUGGUUCCUGAAGUCACACGGCCCGCACACGCCGAGCUGGGGUUGGAACACUGGGCUCUCUGACCCGAAGCCCACGUUUCUUUCCAGCGGGCCUGGCAGCGGCCGGGAAAGGGAGCCAAGGCCCCGCGUGGCCACCUGUGGGAGCUGAGUCCAAGCCCCGUGCUGGAGGCCUUCUUAGAAGCUUCUUUCUGGGUCGAAUGUUUUUGCCAGUGUCUGAGCAUCUCGAUACGCCGAGGGUCACUAUGCUGAUGGCCGAGGUUGGUGACCUCCAGAGGAUGAGGAGGGAAGAGGACAAGUGUAGGGCUGCAUAGGGGAGACUCCUGGGGAUGAAACCAGCUUUCCAGGAAGUGAAAGCAGCCUCACUUCUUUAUAUUUCUGAGAUCUUUUACUGCCUCCAGGACCAGUCUAGGAGACUGUUGGUCACUAACCUCUUAGUUUGUGUGUGUAAUGGUAGCGGUGGGUGGAGGGGUGGGCGGGUUGACCAGUCUCCUGAAGUCCUGUCAGUCUGCUCUCUGUAGACAAGGACCCUCUCCUGCUGUCUCCUGCUGGACCCUGCACAGCUUAACUGACCAGAGUAGUUUCUAGAAGCAGUGCUUGCUAGGUACCAUAAAAAAAGACAGCACUGACCCUUCUGGUUCCCCAAGAAGGGGUAGCUUUAUGAAUUUAGGUACCUGAGCCCGAAGCAGAGCUGAGAAGAGUCACCGUUUCUUUUUUUUUUUCAACUGAGGUAUAGUUGACGUACAAUAUUAUAUAAGUUUCAGGUGUACAACAUAGUGAUUCACAGUUUGUAAACAUUAUGUUCCAUUUAUAGUUAUAGUAAAAUAUUGGCUAUAUUCCCUGUGUUGUAAAGAGAGUCACCCUUUCUUAAGCAACCACCAUGUUGAGAAACUAUUCUAGACAUUUUACAUCUUUUUAAAAUAACUUUGUUGAGUCCUACUUUACAUAUCGUAUAAUUCACUCAUUUUUAGUGUCCAAUUCAAUGAAUUUUUUAGUAAAUUUACCAAGAUGUGCAACCAUCAGCAUAAAUCAGUUUAGAACAUUUCCAUCACCCCAAUAAGAUCCCUCACACCCAUUCACUGUUAAUUCCUGUUUUCUCCCUGCCCCGGGCAAUGACUAUUUUCUGUCUCUAUAUAGAUUUGUCUUUUCUGGACAUUUUUUCAAAAUUGAAGCAUAGUUGAUUUACAAUAUUGUGUUAGUUUCAGGUGUACAGCAAAGUGAUUCAGUUUUAUGUAUAGAUAUAUAUUUUCAGAUUCUUUUCCAUUAUAGAUAUUACAAGAUAUUGAAUAUAGUUCUCUGUGCUAUACAGUAAAUCCUGUUGCUUAUCUAUUUUACAUAUAGUAGUGUGUACCUGUUAAUCCCAUACUCCUAAUUUAUCCCUCUCCUCCUCCCUUUCCUGUCUGGUGACCAGAAGUUUGUUUUCUAUGUCUGUGAGUCUGUUUCUGUUUUGUAUA